CAGGGAUGGGCCCACAACCAAGAUAUCACCGUGGUUCAGUCACAUGGGGAGGGAUCAAGGCAUGUAUUACAGGUGAUAUAAAAGAGGGCUUAAACAGCCUUUUGUGGCUUUUCACUGACAGAACUAGGACCAUGAGUAGAAAAGAGAUAGAUUUGGACCCUCCAUGAAAUGGAAAGAGCUUGUUAAAUGGUGAGUUGGUUUGUUACUGGAGCUGUGCUAGCAAGGGUUUGAUUGAUUUGUGUUGGGGCUUGGGUGAUGGAAUGUUUGCAAAGAGUAGAUGAUUGGAUUGAGUUUUUAUUGAUUUUUUUUUUU